rnacentral:rRNA from 1 species
UACGUAGGGUGCAAGCGUUAAUCGGAAUUACUGGGCGUAAAGCGUGCGCAGGCGGUUUUGUAAGACCGAUGUGAAAUCCCCGGGCUCAACCUGGGAACUGCAUUGGUGACUGCAAGGCUUGAGUGUGUCAGAGGGAGGUGGAAUUCCGCGUGUAGCAGUGAAAUGCGUAGAUAUGUGGAGGAACACCGAUGGCGAAGGCAGCCCCCUGGGCUAACACUGACGCUCAUGCACGAAAGCGUGGGGAGCAAACAGG